CCUGAGGGCAGGACAGCUUCUGUACAGUAUGUUUUGGAUUCUUCAAUAAGUAAUGUCGGCAGGUUGACAUAAUUCCAGUCAUGACUUCAAGGACGAGUAUCUUUCCACUUGUGUUCCCAGCCUUGGUGGUGUGCCUAGCUGUUAUACUCCUCUGCUUGUAUCAGUACGCAAGAAAGAAGAGAGCAACAUAUGACUUAGCCAUCGCAAGACUGCAAGAUGAAAACACAUCUAUAGCAGUCUUUACAAUUUCUUUGUCUGAAGAUCAGGCAGAAACGGACAGACAUGACAUCCCUCCUUCGUACAGCCCUGUGGGAGACCCACCGCCAUACGCAUUGUUUGACCCCAAGUUGACGAGCGUUCGGCCAGUGGACUCACUACCUGCCUACGAGAUGUAUGAUAUAACACCUCAUCACCAGAUGACAACCACAGCACUAGCCUCUUCAUCUGAAAGCAGCACCUAUAACCACCCAUAGCCAGAGAGGCUACACCAGGCACACACUCCAUUUUAACUGCCAACAAACGCUGACGCACUUUCUUUUGUUUUUGUGUGUAAUGUGUAUUAUGAAAAAAUACUAUCGCCAAUUAUUUUAUGUUGUGAUUUUAACUUAAAAAUAAUUUGCAUUGAUAUUAACUGCAGACGGUGAAGCAAUGCUCUCGACAUUUGCAAUUUUAAUACAUUUUUAUAUGAACAUCAAAACUACAGUGUAGUUGUCCAACUGCAUCAACACACCAGCAGAAUCAUCAAAGCACCAAGUGUUUCUCUAUGUUAUACUAUAUACUCUUUAUUACAAUACAGUACUUACAAGUUUGAGGGAAAAUAAAAUAAAUAUUAAAUGAGUUGCCAGUAUUAUUUUUCUCUAUUUUCUAAGAAGAAACAUGUACAGUGAUAGUGUUUCCUUGGCUUUUGAACCAUGUUAAGGCAAAAGUAAGUAUGAAUUUGAAGCCACUGAUAAAUAUUUUACUUUUCUGUACAUUAAAAAUAACAAAGAAAAAAACAUGACAACCUCCAU